ensembl:lncRNA
UGUAAGUGUAGGUGUAAGUGUAGGUGUAAGUGUAGGUGUAAUUGUAAGUGUAGGUGUAGGUGUGAGUGUAGGUGUAAGUGUAGGUGUAGGUGUGAGUGUAGGUGUAAGUGUAGGUGUAGGUGUGAGUGUAAGUGUAGGUGUAGGUGUAAGUGUAGGUGUAAGUGUAAGUGUAGGUGUAAGUGUAGGUGUAAGUGUAGGUGUGAGUGUGAGUGUAGGUGUAAGUAUAAGUGUAGGUGUAGGAGUAGGUGUAGGUGUAAGUGUAAGUGUAGGUGUGAGUGAGAGUGUAGGUGUAAGUAUAAGUGUAGG